CGCAGUCGAUGUGAAAGUCUUGUGCCAGGUUCAUUUUCUUUCUUUUUCAAGUAACCUGCUCCUAUAUCUGCAGUGAAGUUAGCGGAAUGCAUCGCGUUACAUUCAUCAUCUUUGGCGCUUUAGCGCUGUUCGUUUUGUGUGAGACCGGAAACUUCUUUGGUGUUCCAUGCGAUGUGAAAGGCAAGAUUGUCAACAAG
rnacentral:lncRNA from 1 species